GUCUAAGGCCAUAUCACCCUGAGACCAAUCUCAUCUGGUCUCAAAAGCCAAGCAGGGUGGGGCCUGGCUAGUACUUGAACAGAUCUUCAGAAGAGACUGCUCAGAGACA
rnacentral:rRNA from 1 species